UACAGGGGGGGCAAGCGUUGUUCGGAAUUACUGGGCGUAAAGGGCGCGUAGGCGGCCCGCUAAGUCGAACGUGAAAUCCCUGGGCUCAACCCAGGAACUGCGUCCGAUACUGGCAGGCUUGAAUCCGGGAGAGGGAUGCGGAAUUCCAGGUGUAGCGGUGAAAUGCGUAGAUAUCUGGAGGAACACCGGUGGCGAAGGCGGCAUCCUGGACCGGCAUUGACGCUGAGGCGCGAAAGCGUGGGGAGCGAACAGG
rnacentral:rRNA from 1 species